AGUGAACGCUGGCGGCGUGCCUAAUACAUGCAAGUCGAACGGAGUGGCGCGCGGGUGCGUACUAUAUAGCAAAUCUGGCCCUUGCUGGACAACAACAGUUAGAAAUGACUGCUAAUACUCCAUAGCAAGGGAUGAGACUAUAUCGUAUCAGCUAGUCGGGGGGGUAAUGGCCUACCGAGGUGAUGACGCGUAACUGGUCUGCGAGGAUGAUCAGUAACAUUGGAACUGAGACAGGGUCAAAACUCCUACGGGAGGCAGCAGUAGGCAGUAUUGCGCAAUGGGGGUAACCGAGAAGAAUUAACGGCGCGUGGAGGAUGACACUUUUCGGAGAAUAAGCUCCUUUUGUUAGGAAAGCGGUACCUAACGAAUAAGCACCGGCUAACUCCGUGCCAGCAGCCGCGGUAAUAC
rnacentral:rRNA from 1 species